CAUUAACAUGGACAUGAGAUGACAAACCAUCAAAACAUUACAAAGAUGCUGGUGAAGUAGAACUCUGUUGUGUUUAGUGGAAUGCAGAAAAUUCCAUUUGAGUUAUUACAGAGAAAAUAAAUAUACUCAGAAACCAUUGACACGUUAGCGGAGAGAGGUUAGACUUAGGAUAUCCAAAAGGUAGGCCCGUAGCUGCUGUGUAGCUACAGGCCUUAAGGCUGACACCAUACAAGUACUUGUACAACUGACAAAGCAUUGUGGGAAUUUUAGCUCCACAGUGAAACCUUUUGUAAAACAAUGGCUUAGAAACUAGAUCUGACCUUUUAACGUGAGAACACAGACAGUACCAAGGUAUAUCUGUGUUGUAUUCAGUAGGUAGCAUUCUGCAAUAUAUGAUUCAAUAUGGCUGCUGCAAUAGUAAAGUGCAUAGAAAAGGCAUUGGAGAAAGAAAAUUUAAACAAUUUAAAACCGCCUGAUUUCUAAGCAGCAUGUAGGGG